GGUUAAGCGACUAAGCGUACACGGUGGAUGCCCUGGCAGUCAGAGGCGAUGAAGGACGUGCUAAUCUGCGAUAAGCGUCGGUAAGGUGAUAUGAACCGUUAUAACCGGCGAUUUCCGAAUGGGGAAACCCAGUGUGUUUCGACACACUAUCAUUAACUGAAUCCAUAGGUUAAUGAGGCGAACCGGGGGAACUGAAACAUCUAAGUACCCCGAGGAAAAGAAAUCAACCGAGAUUCCCCCAGUAGCGGCGAGCGAACGGGGAGCAGCCCAGAGCCUGAAUCAGUGUGUGUGUUAGUGGAAGCGUCUGGAAAGGCGCGCGAUACAGGGUGACAGCCCCGUACACAAAAAUGCACAUGCUGUGAGCUCGAUGAGUAGGGCGGGACACGUGGUAUCCUGUCUGAAUAUGGGGGGACCAUCCUCCAAGGCUAAAUACUCCUGACUGACCGAUAGUGAACCAGUACCGUGAGGGAAAGGCGAAAAGAACCCCGGCGAGGGGAGUGAAAAAGAACCUGAAACCGUGUACGUACAAGCAGUGGGAGCACGCUUAGGCGUGUGACUGCGUACCUUUUGUAUAAUGGGUCAGCGACUUAUAUUCUGUAGCAAGGUUAACCGAAUAGGGGAGCCGAAGGGAAACCGAGUCUUAACUGGGCGUUAAGUUGCAGGGUAUAGACCCGAAACCCGGUGAUCUAGCCAUGGGCAGGUUGAAGGUUGGGUAACACUAACUGGAGGACCGAACCGACUAAUGUUGAAAAAUUAGCGGAUGACUUGUGGCUGGGGGUGAAAGGCCAAUCAAACCGGGAGAUAGCUGGUUCUCCCCGAAAGCUAUUUAGGUAGCGCCUCGUGAAUUCAUCUCCGGGGGUAGAGCACUGUUUCGGCAAGGGGGUCAUCCCGACUUACCAACCCGAUGCAAACUGCGAAUACCGGAGAAUGUUAUCACGGGAGACACACGGCGGGUGCUAACGUCCGUCGUGAAGAGGGAAACAACCCAGACCGCCAGCUAAGGUCCCAAAGUCAUGGUUAAGUGGGAAACGAUGUGGGAAGGCCCAGACAGCCAGGAUGUUGGCUUAGAAGCAGCCAUCAUUUAAAGAAAGCGUAAUAGCUCACUGGUCGAGUCGGCCUGCGCGGAAGAUGUAACGGGGCUAAACCAUGCACCGAAGCUGCGGCAGCGACGCUGAUGCGUUGUUGGGUAGGGGAGCGUUCUGUAAGCCUGCGAAGGUGUGCUGUGAGGCAUGCUGGAGGUAUCAGAAGUGCGAAUGCUGACAUAAGUAACGAUAAAGCGGGUGAAAAGCCCGCUCGCCGGAAGACCAAGGGUUCCUGUCCAACGUUAAUCGGGGCAGGGUGAGUCGACCCCUAAGGCGAGGCCGAAAGGCGUAGUCGAUGGGAAACAGGUUAAUAUUCCUGUACUUGGUGUUACUGCGAAGGGGGGACGGAGAAGGCUAUGUUGGCCGGGCGACGGUUGUCCCGGUUUAAGCGUGUAGGCUGGUUUUCCAGGCAAAUCCGGAAAAUCAAGGCUGAGGCGUGAUGACGAGGCACUACGGUGCUGAAGCAACAAAUGCCCUGCUUCCAGGAAAAGCCUCUAAGCAUCAGGUAACAUCAAAUCGUACCCCAAACCGACACAGGUGGUCAGGUAGAGAAUACCAAGGCGCUUGAGAGAACUCGGGUGAAGGAACUAGGCAAAAUGGUGCCGUAACUUCGGGAGAAGGCACGCUGAUAUGUAGGUGAAGUCCCUUGCGGAUGGAGCUGAAAUCAGUCGAAGAUACCAGCUGGCUGCAACUGUUUAUUAAAAACACAGCACUGUGCAAACACGAAAGUGGACGUAUACGGUGUGACGCCUGCCCGGUGCCGGAAGGUUAAUUGAUGGGGUCAGCGCAAGCGAAGCUCUUGAUCGAAGCCCCGGUAAACGGCGGCCGUAACUAUAACGGUCCUAAGGUAGCGAAAUUCCUUGUCGGGUAAGUUCCGACCUGCACGAAUGGCGUAAUGAUGGCCAGGCUGUCUCCACCCGAGACUCAGUGAAAUUGAACUCGCUGUGAAGAUGCAGUGUACCCGCGGCAAGACGGAAAGACCCCGUGAACCUUUACUAUAGCUUGACACUGAACAUUGAGCCUUGAUGUGUAGGAUAGGUGGGAGGCUUGGAAGUGUGGACGCCAGUCUGCAUGGAGCCGACCUUGAAAUACCACCCUUUAAUGUUUGAUGUUCUAACGUUGACCCGUAAUCCGGGUUGCGGACAGUGUCUGGUGGGUAGUUUGACUGGGGCGGUCUCCUCCUAAAGAGUAACGGAGGAGCACGAAGGUUGGCUAAUCCUGGUCGGACAUCAGGAGGUUAGUGCAAUGGCAUAAGCCAGCUUGACUGCGAGCGUGACGGCGCGAGCAGGUGCGAAAGCAGGUCAUAGUGAUCCGGUGGUUCUGAAUGGAAGGGCCAUCGCUCAACGGAUAAAAGGUACUCCGGGGAUAACAGGCUGAUACCGCCCAAGAGUUCAUAUCGACGGCGGUGUUUGGCACCUCGAUGUCGGCUCAUCACAUCCUGGGGCUGAAGUAGGUCCCAAGGGUAUGGCUGUUCGCCAUUUAAAGUGGUACGCGAGCUGGGUUUAGAACGUCGUGAGACAGUUCGGUCCCUAUCUGCCGUGGGCGCUGGAGAACUGAGGGGGGCUGCUCCUAGUACGAGAGGACCGGAGUGGACGCAUCACUGGUGUUCGGGUUGUCAUGCCAAUGGCACUGCCCGGUAGCUAAAUGCGGAAGAGAUAAGUGCUGAAAGCAUCUAAGCACGAAACUUGCCCCGAGAUGAGUUCUCCCUGACCCUUUAAGGGUCCUGAAGGAACGUUGAAGACGACGACGUUGAUAGGCCGGGUGUGUAAGCGCAGCGAUGCGUUGAGCUAACCGGUACUAAUGAACCGUGAGGCUUAACCUU
rnacentral:rRNA from 2 species